rnacentral:rRNA from 1 species
CGCGUAGGCGGUUUGUUAAGUUGGAUGUGAAAGCCCGGGCUCAACCUGGGAAUUGCACCCGAUACUGGCCGACUAGAGUACGAGAGAGGGAGGUAGAAUUCCACGUGUAGCGGUGAAAUGCGUAGAUAUGUGGAGGAAUACCGGUGGCGAAGGCGGCCUCCUGGCUCGAUACUGACGCUGAGGUGCGAAAGCGUGGGGAGCAAACA